CCUACACUGUUAUCAAUUCAUUAUCUUAGUUAUUUAAUAUUCCUACGACUGUGGUUAAACAUUAAGUCAUAUUUUUGGAAACUACGCGUUGAAAAGUGUAAAUUUGGGAGUAACAUCUCUAGAUUCAAGAUUAUUAAUUUCAUCCAAAUAGUAAAAUCCGCUUUCUAAGUAUGGGCAGCAUUGUCUUUCGCAGAGUUCAUUCUUAUCCGUUCGCCUAAAAACAACAAAAAUGAUAAAAUUACACAAAAAUAAUAUAAAAAUAUAAAAUAUAGUACUUACCAUCGAUCUGUUUCUUUGGUGCAUUUGUAGACAUCCAUACAGACGUUGCAAAUAUGCUGAGCAUCUAUAACUACAUUAAAACAUGGAUUAAAACACUAAAAGGUUUAAUUAACCUCAUAAAACCUACCAUUUCGUGGAGUAAGAACACUGGAGAACAAAAUCAAACACAAAAAUACGUUUAGUUUGGUUUGUGGAAUCAUCUCUGCGCGAUAAAAGUGGCACGAAAUGCCAGACUUUGUUGAAGUCGGAAUACAAGUAUACUCAACGUGUCUGUUAUUGUAUUGUUCUACAUUUGCGACACUUUCUCAAGCAGAAAACUGAACAAUCCUGUCUUUAUCCAUCCGCUUCGGGAAGAUAACAGGUCCUCGUAAAUGUGGCCUGUGUGAAUCACUCGCAUACGUCUUCAAACCCGGCGUAGUAAUCGGUUUCUUAUUCGUAGUGAAAGUAUUGGGAAUAUUUGGUAAGGCCUCUUGUCCUUUACUCUUCGGUACAGGUUUGAAUCCGGUUUCAAUUUCCGGCUCGACAAAGCCUCCUUGCUUAUAAUUAUCGAAAUCGUACUGCGUUAAAUCAAUCGUUACCGGCGUCAACAAAUCGUAACUAAUUGGCUGCUCAUGUUGACUAUGCUUAAUC